rnacentral:misc_RNA from 1 species
GAUGAAGAACGCAGUGAAAUGCGAUAAGUAAUGUGAAUUGCAGAAUUCAGUGAAUCAUCGAAUCUUUGAACGCACAUUGCGCCCAUUAGUAUUCUAGUGGGCAUGCCUGUUCGAGCGUCAUUUCAACCCUUAAGCCCCCGUUGCUUAGCGUUGGGAACCUACAGCGAUGUAGUUCCUUAAAGUUAGUGGCGGAGUCGGUUCACACUCUAGGCGUAGUAAAUUUUAUCUCGCCUCUGUAGUUGGACCGUCCCCCGCCGUAAAACACCCCAAUUUCUAAAGGUUGACCUCGGAUCAGGUAGGAAUACCCGCUGAACUUAAGCAUAUCAAUAAGCGGAGGA